AGCUCAAAUUUGAAAUCUGGCCCCUCGGGGUCCGAGUUGUAAUUUGUAGAGGAUGCUUUUGGUGAGGUGCCGCCCGAGUUCCCUGGAACGGGACGCCACAGAGGGUGAGAGCCCCGUCUGGCUGGCCGCCGAGCCUCUGUAAAGCUCCUUCGACGAGUCGAGUAGUUUGGGAAUGCUGCUCAAAAUGGGAGGUAUAUGUCUUCUAAAGCUAAAUAUUGGCCAGAGACCGAUAGCGCACAAGUAGAGUGAUCGAAAGAUGAAAAGCACCUUGAAAAGAGGGUUAAAUAGUACGUGAAAUUGUUGAAAGGGAAGCGCUUGUGACCAGACUUGGGCGCGGCGGAUCAUCCGGGGUUCUCUCCGGUGCACUUCGCCGCGUCUGGGCCAGCAUCAGUUCGUCGCGGGGGAAAAAGGCUUCGGGAACGUGGCUCCUCCGGGAGUGUUAUAGCCGUUGCAUAAUACCCUGCGGUGGACUGAGGACCGCGCAUCUGCNAGGAUGCUGGCGUAAUGGUCACCAGCGACCCGUCUUGAAACACGGACCAAGGAGUCGUCUUCGUAUG
rnacentral:rRNA from 1 species